rnacentral:tRNA from 2 species
GCGGACGUGGCGAAAUUGGUAGACGCACCAGAUUUAGGUUCUGGCGCAGAGAUGUGUGAGAGUUCGAGUCUCUCCGUCCGCA